rnacentral:rRNA from 1 species
GAUGAACGCUGGCGGCGUGCCUAAUACAUGCAAGUCGAGCGAACAGACGAGGAGCUUGCUCCUCUGACGUUAGCGGCGGACGGGUGAGUAACACGUGGAUAACCUACCUAUAAGACUGGGAUAACUUCGGGAAACCGGAGCUAAUACCGGAUAAUAUAUUGAACCGCAUGGUUCAAUAGUGAAAGACGGUUUUGCUGUCACUUAUAGAUGGAUCCCCGCCGCAUUAGCUAGUUGGUAAGGUAACGGCUUACCAAGGCAACGAUGCGUAGCCGACCUGAGAGGGUGAUCGGCCACACUGGAACUGAGACACGGUCCAGACUCCUACGGGAGGCAGCAGUAGGGAAUCUUCCGCAAUGGGCGAAAGCCUGACGGAGCAGCGCCGCGUGAGUGAUGAAGGUCUUCGGAUCGUAAAACUCUGUUAUUAGGGAAGAACAAAUGUGUAAGUAACUAUGCACGUCUUGACGGUACCUAAUCAGAAAGCCACGGCUAACUACGUG